rnacentral:rRNA from 1 species
UACAGAGGGUGCAAGCGUUAAUCGGAAUUACUGGGCGUAAAGCGUGCGUAGACGGUUAUGUAAGUCGGGUGUGAAAGCCCCGGGCUCAACUUGGGAAUUGCAUUCGAGACUGCAUAGCUAGGGUUCGGAAGAGGGAAGCGGAAUUUCCGGUGUAGCGGUGAAAUGCGUAGAUAUCGGAAGGAACACCAGUGGCGAAAGCGGCUUCCUGGUCCAGAACCGACGUUCAGGCACGAAAGCGUGGGGAGCAAACAGG